AAGAAAGUAGAUAAGGGCGUAUGGAGGAUGCCUUGGCUCUCAGAGGCGAUGAAGGACGUGCUAAGCUGCGAUAAGCUACGGGAAGUUGCACAGAAACUUUGAUCCGUAGAUUUCCGAAUGGGGCAACCCGACUGGUUGAAGACUAGUCACCGCAAGGAGCUAACCCGGAGAACUGAAACAUCUAAGUACCCGGAGGAAGAGAAAACAAUAGUGAUUCCGUAAGUAGUGGCGAGCGAACGCGGAAUAGCCCAAACUCUGGUCGUUACGGCGAUCAGGGGGUUGUAGGACUGCAAUGUGGAUUAUAUUAUGAAUUAGAAUGGCUUGGGAAAGUCAACCGUAGAGGGUGAAAGUCCCGUACAAGUAAAAUGAUAUUACCUAGCAGUAUCCUGAGUAGGGCGGGACCGGAGAAAUCCCGUCUGAAUCUGCCGGCACCAUCCGGUAAGGCUAAAUACUCCUGAGAGACCGAUAGUGAACUAGUACCGUGAGGGAAAGGUGAAAAGUACCCUGAGUAAGGGGGUGAAAUAGUGCCUGAAACCAUACGCUUACAAGCGGUCGGAGCUACUUUGUGUAGUGACGGCGUGCCUUUUGCAUAAUGAGCCUACGAGUUAGUGUUGUUGGCAAGGUUAAUAUAUUUAGUGUUGAAGCCGAAGCGAAAGCGAGUCUUAACAGGGCGAUCAGUCAGCAGUACUAGACGCGAAACUUUGUGAUCUACCCAUGACCAGGGUGAAGUGUAGGUAACACUACAUGGAGGCCCGAACCAGUUGACGUUGAAAAGUCUUUGGAUGAGUUGUGGGUAGGGGUGAAAGGCCAAUCAAACUGAGAGAUAGCUCGUACUCCCCGAAAUGCUUUUAGGAGCAGCGUGGAGCUUAGUUUAUCAGAGGUAGAGCUACCGAUUGGACUAGGGGGAGUCAAAUCCUACCAAAUCCAGACGAACUCCGAAUGCUGAUAAAUAUGCUCCGCAGUGAGGGUUGGGGUGCUAAGGUCCCAAUCCGAGAGGGAAAGAACCCAGACCUACAGCUAAGGUCCCUAAAUUUACACUAAGUUGAACUAAGGAGGUUCAGUUGCUUAGACAGCCAGGAUGUUGGCUUGGAAGCAGCCAUUCAUUUAAAGAGUGCGUAACAGCUCACUGGUCAAGCGACAGAGCAUCAAUAAUAAUCGGGCAUCAAGUGUAAUACCGAAGCUUAGGAUCAUUUACGAUGGUAGGGGAGCAUUCUCUGCUCAGCGAAGGUGUGGCGUGAGCCAUGCUGGAGAGCAGAGAAGAGCAAAUGUAGGCAUAAGUAACGAUAAGGCAGGAGAGAAACCUGCCCACCGAUAGACUAAGGUUUCCCCGGCAAUGUUAAUCAGCCGGGGGUUAGUCGGGAUCUAAGGCAAACCCAAAAGGGAUAGUCGAUGAAUAACUAGUUAAUAUUCUAGUACCACCUUUAUUUUUGAUGGGGUGAAGGAGUAGUGAAAGUACCGCGUACUGACGGAAUAGUACGUUGAAGCGUGUAGGUACAGAGAUUGUAGGCAAAUCCGCAAGCUCUGCUGAACGUGAUAGUACCACAAACCUUCGGGUGCGUGGAUAGUGUACCUAAUCAAACUUCCAAGAAAAACCUCUAAGGCUAGGAUAAAGGUGCUCGUACCGUAAACCGACACAGGUAGUCAAGGAGAGAAUCCUAAGGUGCUCGAGUGAUUCGUGGUCAAGGAACUAGGCAAAAUUGUCCUGUAACUUCGGGAGAAGGGACUCCUAUUUCGGUAGGACGCAGUAAAAAGACCCAGGCGACUGUUUAUCAAAAACGAAGCCCCAGUAAACGGCGGCCGUAACUAUAACGGUCCUAAGGUAGCGAAAUUCCUUGUCGGGUAAGUUCCGACCUGCACGAAUGGUGCAACGAUCUGGGUACUGUCUCAACCACGAGCUCGGUGAAAUUGUAGUUCCGGUGAAGAUGCCGGAUACCCGCAACGGGACGAAAAGACCCCGUGAACCUUUACUAUAGCUUCACAUUGAUAUUGGGUAAAUGAUGUGUAGGAUAGCUGGGAGACUCUGAAGUCGUGUCGUCAGGCAUGAUGGAGUCGUUGGUGAAAUACCAGCCUUUAUUUAUUUGAUGUCUAACCCCGAAAGGGAGACAUUGUGUGGUGGGUAGUUUGACUGGGGUGGUCGCCUCCAAAAAAGUAACGGAGGCUUUCAAAGGUACCCUCAGCACGCUUGGUAAUCGUGCGCAGAGUGCAAUAGCAUAAGGGUGCUUGACUGUGAGGCUCACAAGUCGAUCAGGUAGGAAACUAGGAUAUAGUGAUCCGGCGGUUCUGUAUGGAAGGGCCGUCGCUCAAAGGAUAAAAGGUACUCCGGGGAUAACAGGCUGAUCUCCCCCAAGAGCUCAUAUCGACGGGGAGGUUUGGCACCUCGAUGUCGGCUCGUCACAUCCUGGGGCUGGAGAAGGUCCCAAGGGUUGGGCUGUUCGCCCAUUAAAGUGGCACGCGAGCUGGGUUCAGAACGUCGUGAGACAGUUCGGUCUCUAUCUGUUGUGGGCGUAAGAAACUUGAGUAGAUCUGACCUUAGUACGAGAGGACCGGGUUGGACUAACCGCUGGUGUACCAGUUGUUCCGCCAGGAGCAUCGCUGGGUAGCUACGUUGGGAAGGGAUAAGCACUGAAAGCAUCUAAGUGCGAAACCUGCUGCAAGAUGAGGUUUCUUUUAAAGGAUGUUCCAGAUGAGGACGUAGAUAGGCUGUAGGUGUAAAGGCAGUAAUGUCAAAGCCGAGCAGUACUAAUUACCUGUAAGCUUUUUUGA
rnacentral:rRNA from 1 species